UUGAUGAUCUUCUUGUUUGGUCUAGACGUACCUUCAGUUCUGUAAACAUAUUAAAUUAUCAGAGCAUGCACAACAAAUCCAAGUUAUGAUAAACAACUGACACAUCCUGAUUCUGGAUUAGGAACUCACAAAUUUGAAAAUUGCUUUAUCUUAUUUGAUCAAGGAUAGGUUGUUGUUGUUGUAACGAUGUUCUUAUAUCUAUGCCUAACAUCUGCAUGCGAGGCACCCCUAACCCUUUUUUAUUAUUGUAAUUAACUUUCAAAAGUUGCAUAUAGACUUAUAUGAUGUGCUGUCUAAACUAGGUAGGCACCUCUGUCGGACCCAAUAUUUGAAGCCAGAUGUGUGGAGAGGUUAAUCACUCCCCUCACCGGCAGUGGAUGCAGCCACACUGCUGCCUGCAAAACAUCUUUAUUGCUUCAACGCAAGGAAGGCUCUAGAAGCAUUUGGUUUGUCCAUGCAGAUGAUCUUAGUUACCUGGUUAUCAAUUAGCUUAAGCAAAGCUAAUCUCAGGCUUGCCACCCUCACACAACAUCGGGAUGCGUUUUGCACGAGAAGCAACGGCAAGGUUUGCCUUCUACAGCAGUCUAGUUUCUUGUUACCAUUGUCUAAUAAUCAAUACCAUCUUAAGCAUCAUGCGAUAGUUGAAGCAGGAAACAUGCACAUGCGCUCACCUUCCGGUUGCAUUUCAUCACAUAAAAGUGCCACAAACUAGCAAUACAACGAUAGGUAGCUUUAUGUGAAUUCGCAUUAAUAAUCCAUGCCACACAUACAAUAGCGAUAGUAGAUAGAAAGUUUAUCAUAUAGUAGUAGCUUGAGUAACUUCCAUGUUGUUUGGUUAAUGCUGCCUAUGAUUGUUGAUGAUCUUCUUGUUUGGUCUAGACGUACCUUCAGUUCUGUAAACAUAUUAAAUUAUCAGAGCAUGCACAGCAAAUCCAAGUUGAAAAUUAAUUACAAUGAUAAACAACUGACACAUCCUGAUUCUGGAUUAGGAACUCGCAAAUUUGAAAAUUGCUUUAUCUUAUUUGAUCAAGGAUAGGUUGUUGUUGUUGUAACGAUGUUCUUAUAUCUAUGCCUAACAUCUGCAUGCGAGGCACCCCUAACCCUUUUUUAUUAUUGUAAUUAACUUUCAAAAGUUGCAUAUAGACUAAUAUGAUGUGCUGUCUAAACUAGGUAGGCACCUCUGUCGGACCCAAUAUUUGAAGCCAGAUGUGUGGAGAGGUUAAUCACUCCCCUCACCGGCAGUGGAUGCAGCCACACUGCUGCCUGCAAAACAUCUUUAUUGCUUCAACGCAAGGAAGGCUCUAGAAGCAUUUGGUUUGUCCAUGCAGAUGAUCUUAGUUACCUGGUUAUCAAUUAGCUUAAGCAAAGCUAAUCUCAGGCUUGCCACCCUCACACAACAUCGGGAUGCGUUUUGCACGAGAAGCAACGGCAAGGUUUGCCUUCUACAGCAGUCUAGUUUCUUGUUACCAUUGUCUAAUAAUCAAUACCAUCUUAAGCAUCAUGCGAUAGUUGAAGCAGGAAACAUGCACAUGCGCUCACCUUCCGGUUGCAUUUCAUCACAUAAAAGUGCCACAAACUAGCAAUACAACGAUAGGUAGCUUUAUGUGAAUUCGCAUUAAUAAUCCAUGCCACACAUACAAUAGCGAUAGUAGAUAGAAAGUUUAUCAUAUAGUAGUAGCUUGAGUAACUUCCAUGUUGUUUGGUUAAUGCUGCCUAUGAUUGUUGAUGAUCUUCUUGUUUGGUCUAGACGUACCUUCAGUUCUGUAAACAUAUUAAAUUAUCAGAGCAUGCACAGCAAAUCCAAGUUGAAAAUUAAUUACAAUGAUAAACAACUGACACAUCCUGAUUCUGGAUUAGGAACUCGCAAAUUUGAAAAUUGCUUUAUCUUAUUUGAUCAAGGAUAGGUUGUUGUUGUUGUAACGAUGUUCUUAUAUCUAUGCCUAACAUCUGCAUGCGAGGCACCCCUAACCCUUUUUUAUCAUUGUAAUUAACUUUCAAAAGUUGCAUAUAGACUAAUAUGAUGUGCUGUCUAAACUAGGUAGGCACCUCUGUCGGAC
rnacentral:lncRNA from 1 species